ensembl:lncRNA
CUCCUUCAAAAAGGAAGCAAGUUGGGAGGCUCGCCAACUCUUCUGUUUUAAGGGGGGAAUUUUAAAAUGAUCAUUUCAUUUAUAGAUUUAAAAAAAUAGAUAUUAGAAGAGAUACCAUUCACAACAGGAACACCAAGGUCCCUGUGAGAACUGAAGCACAGGCCGGGGAUCCACGGCUGGGUGGCGGGCACAGCAGUCACUGUGAAGAGCCCAGCCCCUCACCCAUCAGGAUAACCCCGAGAUUCAUACAGCACGUUAUUCCUCACCAGCCCCUUCAUGCACUUGCUGGGUUUAAUUCCCUAGUUGUUUUAAUCUGGAUAACAAGAUUGAAUGUUGACUGAAAUGCAGUGUUGGGUGGAGUUACUUAUCCUGUAUUUUUUAAUGAAAUGUGAAGUUGUUGAAAGGGUUCUGAAUUUACAGGCGGCCUGUUGUCUGGGGCUGUAGUGCUGCUCUGAAUACUGCAUUGUGAAGGAGCUGAGAAAUUAAAAUUGGUUCUUCUAUAUCCAUUAGCAAGUUGAACUAUGAACUUGCCAUUCUGAUUUGCCACAACAUAUUCACUGGUACACAGUCAUUAAAGUAAAACAUUUACACAGUGCUUGUCUGCCCUAACUUCAGAGAAGGGCCAGGGUGUUUGCAAAGUGUGGAGGUUUCCAGUAGCUCACUCAUGGCUCAGUUCUAUUUCAUAAUGCACUUCUACCCUAGUUGAUUUGUCCUCAAGUAAAAGAAUUUAGAACCACAUCAAGACAGAUGGAACCUUGUCCAACUAUCCCUACCCCCAUUUCCAAAUGAGGAAACCGAGGCUUAAAGAGACAAGACUUGCCCCAAAGUCAACAGAGGAACAACAAAAGAGGGACGAAGAUGCAGACACCACCUCUCCCUGGGAUGGCAGGGAGCGGGUAAUGUUGAUGUGGCUCUUAAAGGAGGAGUGGGCAUUUUCCAGGCAGGACUAGAAAGGAAAGGCAGGAGCAAUCUCAUGGGCACAAAGGCGAGAACUGGCAGGAUUUACUGCAGGGUUUGGAGGUGAGGUGGAGAGGGCUGAGGACCUGGGAGGCCCAGCUGAAAAGCUGAUAAUGGAGUCAGCGCCAAAAUGACAACUCCAUUCGUGGCAGGGUGGCCAGACCAAGGUGUCCAUCACAUGGUCAACUGGCCACACGGGCAGAGUCCUAACUGACAGCUGAGCCCUGGUUCAGGGCAGAUGGGAAGGAACUGUCAGCUCCUGGGCCAGCCAGGGACACCACACCUGCUCAUCACCCCCACCCUAUCAGUUUCAGUUUCUGACCCACCUCACCCCAUCUCCAGGGUAUCUGAGCACCGAAGCUCCUCUGGGCACCUGUCGGGGCCAGCUGGGCCUGUUCUUCCACUGGCUGAACAAGAGGCUGCAUUUGGGUGGGUCUCGGCCUAGAGGCCUCUUGCUUGUGUUGGCAGAGACAAAGAAGGGAGCAGGGAGGGCAGAGCUGGCUCCACCGGCCCCCAGCUUCAUGGCCACCACCCUGAGAUCCCAAGAGACCCUAGCAAAGUUUAGGAGAAGAACAGGAAGGGCUGGAUACACCCCUAACCCUCUAUCUUAACAGUGAGACAAUUUGAAUUUUGCUUUUUUUAUCCUCCAGUUUUUCCUCAUGCGUGUGGGGUUUUAGUAGUGAAAUACAUAUAUAUAUUAUACAUAUAUAUGAUAUGUUUAUUAUAUAUAAUUUUAUAUAUUAUAUACAUUAUAUAAUUUUAUACAUUAUAUAAGUAAUAUAUAUGUGUGUGUAUAUAUAAUUUUUUCUUAAUUUCAAAAAAUCGUCUCCCGUUCUCCUAGUUUCAUUCCGACUCAGUGCAAGGCUGGAAGCUUUGCCAGGAACUUUUCAGGGUGAGACAUUAUAAUAGUGAUCUAGACUGGAUCUCACAUAAUUCUCUCUUUCCUAAUUCUCCAGUUCAUUAGAAAUAAGGAAAACAUGAAAUUCCUAAACAUCAAAGCUAUUGCCUUGGGGCCGGCCCUGUGGCUGAGUGAUUAAGAGGGCUCAGCUUCAGCGGCCCAGGGUUUCACGGGUUCGAAUCCUGGGCACGGACGUGGCACCGCUCAUCAAGCCACACUGAGGCAGCAUCCCACAUGCCACAAUUGGAAGGACCCACAACAAAAAAUACACAACUAUGGGGCCGGCCCGGUGGCGCAGCGGUUAAGUGCCCACGUUCCGCUUCAGUGACUUGGAGUUCGCCAGUUCAGAUCUCGGGUACGGACAUGGCACCACUUGGCAAGCCAUGCUGUGGUAGACGUCCCACAUAUAAAGUAGAGGAAGAUGGGCCUGGAUGUGAGCUCAGGGCCAAUCUUCCUCAGCAAAAAGAGGAAGAUUGGCAGCAGUUGUUAGCUCAGGGCUAAUCUUCCUUAAAAAAAAAAAAAUACACAACUAUGUACUGGGGGGCUUUGAGGAGAAAAAGGAAAAAUAAAAUCUUUAAAAAAAUAAAUAAAUAAAAGCUAUUGCCAGUUGGAGGCCCCAAACACAACCAACCCACUGGCCAGUAGAUGGUGCCAAAGGUUAACCACUGCCUUUGGGCUGAAUGUCCAGUCUGGCGCCUUCAAACACUACUCAGGUCUUCAUUCUGCUCCUAGAUGGCUGCCUGCCAUGUGCCGGGUCUUGAGCCGGGUUUGAGGGAUAUAGAUGAGAUGAGAAAGACAAAGUCUGAUAUCAAUUCAGCCCAUGGGCUAAUUGCUGUGAAGGAGGCACCUAGAGAGAAUUUGGCCAGAGGUGAUUUCCGAGCUGAGCUGAGCCUGGUAGACAAGGUCGGCCUGGAGAAGAGGAGAAGAAUGCUCCAGGAGGAGGAACUGCCCUGAGGUUCUAGGAGAACAACGGCGAGUCCAUCCUCUGAGCGCUCACUGUGUGCCAGGCACUAAGAGCUUCACUGGGAUUAGUUCAUGGCAUCCUCCCACCGCCUUCCUCUUAUCAUCCCUACUGUGAAGAUGAGAAGGCCGAACCACAGAGAGGCGGAGUAGCUUGCUCAGUCACAACCCAGCUGCACACCAUCCUCCUUGGAGUCAACUGUGCCUCUUUCCAAAUUUUUGAGGAAGAUUAGCCCUGAGCUAACAUCUGCUGCCAAUCUUCCUCUUUUUGCUGAGGAAGACUGGCCCUGAGUGAACAUCCAUGCCCAUCUUCCUCUACUUUAUAUGUGGGACACCUGCCACAGCAUGGCGCGCCAAGUGGUGCGUAGGUCCGCACCCAAGAUCCGAACUGGCAAACCCCAGGCCGCCAAAGUAGAGCGUGAAACUUAACCUCUGUGCCACCAGGCUGGCCCCUAAACAUCACCGCUUUUAAAAACAGCUUAUGAGGUAUAACUGACAUGCAAUGAGCUGCACACGUUUAAAGUACAACUUGGUAUGUUUCGACACACGUUUAUACCUGUGAGACCAUCACUGCCCUCGAGACAGUGAACAGACUCGUCGCCCAAAGUUUCCACGUGCCCCUCUGCACCCCUCCCUUCUGCUCCCGUCGGCCCCGCCCCCCACAGGCAACCACCAAUCCACCUCUGUCACUAUAAAUUCAUUUGCAUUUUCUAAGAUUUUAUAUAAGUAACUGGCACCUUUCCUUCAGUGUAAUUAUUUUGCAUAUAGAACAUUUACCAUGAUAGAUUAUAUUCAGGGCAAUAAAACAAGUCUCGAUAAAUUUGAAAGGAUUUCAAAUUUCAAAUCAUG